GGGCUAAACCAUGCACCGAAGCUGCGGCAGCGACGCUUAUGCGUUGUUGGGUAGGGGAGCGUUCUGUAAGCCGUUGAAGGUGUGCUGUGAGGCAUGCUGGAGGUAUCAGAAGUGCGAAUGCUGACAUAAGUAACGAUAAAGCGGGUGAAAAGCCCGCUCGCCGGAAGACCAAGGGUUCCUGUCCAACGUUAAUCGGGGCAGGGUGAGUCGACCCCUAAGGCGAGGCCGAAAGGCGUAGUCGAUGGGAAACAGGUUAAUAUUCCUGUACUUGGUGUUGCUGCGAAGGGGGGACGGAGAAGGCUAUGUUAGCCGGGCGACGGUUGUCCCGGUUUAAGCAUGUAGGCGGAGGUUCCAGGUAAAUCCGGUACCUUUUAACGCUGAGGUGUGAUGACGAGGCACUACGGUGCUGAAGUAACAAAUGCCCUGCUUCCAGGAAAAGCCUCUAAGCAUCAGGUAACACGAAAUCGUACCCCAAACCGACACAGGUGGUCAGGUAGAGAAUACCAAGGCGCUUGAGAGAACUCGGGUGAAGGAACUAGGCAAAAUGGUGCCGUAACUUCGGGAGAAUUCACGCUGAUAUGUAGGUGAAGCCCCUGCGGGUGGAGCUGAAAUCAGUCGAAGAUACCAGCUGGCUGCAACUGUUUAUUAAAAACACAGCACUGUGCAAACA
rnacentral:rRNA from 1 species